UGGCAGGCAACAAUGGCGACAGUAAAUCUAAAGUCAAAUGUAUAGUAGUAUAAAUAAAAACCCUUAUAAAUACUUACAACGAAAUUUUAAAUACUAGAGUGCAACGAAUUAUUACGUGCUAAAUCCAUGUAUAAAUAAUCUUUCACAGAAGCUAUUCACAAUACAUAAAUGGGUUUUAUUAUUAUGAUUGCAUUUAUAUUUCAGAAUCUAACUUAUCUGUAAGACAAUUCAAAAAUACCUAUUAUAAUGCCACUUUCAGCUAAUUUUCGUCGUGAAAUGCUGGCAGCAUUAAAAACUGCAAAGAAGAAAAAAGAGAAACAACAUUCACCAGAUGAUGAUGAAGAAGCCGACGAUGACGGUUCCGAUUCAGUUGUUACGAUUGAAAACAAACAAGAACCAGACAAAAGCAAACUUGAAAGAAAUUAAAGAUAUAAAACUAUAAAAGUAUAAUGUAAAAAAUAAGAAUUGGGUACUUUACAAAAGAGAAACAGGGAAUGAGUUAAA